GAUGAACGCUGGCGGCGUGCCUAAUACAUGCAAGUCGAGCGAAUGGAUUAAGAGCUUGCUCUUAUGAAGUUAGCGGCGGACGGGUGAGUAACACGUGGGUAACCUGCCCAUAAGACUGGGAUAACUCCGGGAAACCGGGGCUAAUACCGGAUAACAUUUUGAACCGCAUGGUUCGAAAUUGAAAGGCGGCUUCGGCUGUCACUUAUGGAUGGACCCGCGUCGCAUUAGCUAGUUGGUGAGGUAACGGCUCACCAAGGCAACGAUGGGUAGCUGGUCUGAGAGGACGAUCAGCCACACUGGGACUGAGACACGGCCCAGACUCCUACGGGAGGCAGCAGUAGGGAAUCUUCCGCAAUGGACGAAAGUCUGACGGAGCAACGCCGCGUGAGUGAUGAAGGCUUUCGGGUCGUAAAACUCUGUUGUUAGGGAAGAACAAGUGCUAGUUGAAUAAGUUGGCACCUUGACGGUACCUAACCAGAAAGCCACGGCUAACUACGUGCCAGCCGCCGCAGUAA
rnacentral:rRNA from 1 species